UAGGGAAUCUUCGGCAAUGGACGGAAGUCUGACCGAGCAACGCCGCGUGAGUGAAGAAGGUUUUCGGAUCGUAAAACUCUGUUGUUAGAGAAGAACAAGGACGUUAGUAACUGAACGUCCCCUGACGGUAUCUAACCAGAAAGCCACGGCUAACUACGUGCCAGCAGCCGUGGUAAUACGUAGGUGGCAAGCGUUGUCCGGAUUUAUUGGGCGUAAAGCGAGCGCAGGCGGUUUCUUAAGUCUGAUGUGAAAGCCCCCGGCUCAACCGGGGAGGGUCAUUGGAAACUGGGAGACUUGAGUGCAGAAGAGGAGAGUGGAAAUCCAUGUGUAGCGGUGAAAUGCGUAGAUAUAUGGAGGAACACCAGUGGCGAAGGCGGCUCACUGGUCUGUAACUGACGCUGAGGCACGAAAGCAUGGGGAGCAAACAGG
rnacentral:rRNA from 1 species